UGCCUUGGUAAAAAUGUCAGGCAACCCAUAAUAGCUUCAUCCAGCUUAUUUUGACUCCCGUUUAUUUACUUACUUGAAAGACAGAAGAAAAGAGUUUCUGAAUAUUUGGAAGAUUUUGCUGAAGUAAGUAAAUGCUGCUGAAUGCAGUUGAGGAGCAUCAGAUAAGACAAAACUGAGCCUUGUUACAAAAGAAAAUCUUGUUCAGUGGCACUGCAGCUGCUGCCACGUCUUCACUGACUCAUCCCUAGUUUUUAGAAGGUGCUGUUAACCUCCUUUGAUGGUCUUUGAUUGGUCAGUAGCUAAGCCUAUAAUAUGAGCCUUUAGCCGCUUGGAAAUUUCAGUCUUAUUUUGCUGUCUUCAUCCUUUUACAACCUGUGAAAUCCAUGCAAUUGAGUUGAGAUGUUUGAUUUCUACUCAAGGAUGCAGAAGAUGAAAUGAAAAGGAGCACGGACUAUUCUCUCAUGUUGAAUGUGGCAGUUUUCACAUACAAGCAGGAGAGAAAUUACACCAAGAUUUUGGAAAACAUGUUAUGCAAGGUUAUUGUGACCUCUAUGAUGGGGAUCUGAUAAAGAAGAAAAACACCUCACAGUGAUGACUGGCAUGUGAUCACUUAGCCAAUGAGAUAAGAGGCUGUAGAAAUGAUGUGAUAAUGACGUCUCCUGAGUUCCAGGUCCAUAUUAGCAGUGGAUAUGAGGUAAACAUUGAGUUUUUCUCAAAUUUAAUUAACAAGCAUUAUUAUAGAUACAACUCAAAUUAGUUAAUUCAGGAAGCUUAUUUUGUAGAAAUUAAAACAUUAAUAAACAGAAAAUUUAGAAAUAAAGAACUCGGCUGACACUUUGACUCUUUGAAACAAGUGGCUUUGCAUGCUCUGAAAGAUUAUAGCCACCCUUUGAGACACUGGAAUGGUGUCCAUUGCAUUUUAUCAAGUAACUACAGGUCAGCCUGGGAAAUCUGCAGUUUCCUCCACUCCUGUCACUGUGGUUGCUGUGAGAUUUUGUGUCAUCACUGUGCUGUCUUCCCUCUCCACAUGAAGGUGAGCUCUCUGACUUCACCCUAAUGUCUGUGAUUUCAUGCCUGACCUGAUUGUUGCUGAGCAAUUCCCUUGUUUGGAGAAUUCUGUGCUUUGGUUAGAAUUUUUAAAGGUUUUUUUCCUGUGGUUAGAUUUCUGUUUCCUCCUGUGUCUUAUGCACCUUGUUCUCCUACAGAGAAGAUUCUUUGAAGUUAGUGGAAGCUCAGUUUAAAGGAAGAUCUACUGCUUUGUGUGGUGGAUGACCAUGGGGGAGUGAGAAGGCAGCCUCUGGCUUUUGUUUUGUGUGUAUGUGUGUGUGUGUGUUUGUGUAUGUGUGUGUGAGAUGUACCUGGAAAAAUAACACGAUUAGCAUUAAAGAGUAUGUUUGGCAUGUUUACAAUAAAUUGUAAACCAAACGUAUUUUGAAGAAUUUAUACAAAUUUCUAAUUUAGUAAAAUGAAUGACUAUUGAGUAUUUAUGUCAAUAAAGCAAACACUUGAAUACAA